rnacentral:rRNA from 1 species
UGGGGAAUCUUCCGCAAUGGACGAAAGUCUGACGGAGCAACGCCGCGUGAGUGAUGACGGCCUUCGGGUUGUAAAGCUCUGUUAAUCGGGACGAAUGGUUCUUGUGCGAAUAGUGCGAGGAUUUGACGGUACCGGAAUAGAAAGCCACGGCUAACUACGUGCCAGCAGCCGCGGUAAUACGUAGGUGGCAAGCGUUGUCCGGAAUUAUUGGGCGUAAAGCGCGCGCAGGCGGAUUGGUCAGCCUGUCUUAAAAGUUCGGGGCUUAACCCCGUGAUGGGAUGGAAACUGCCAAUCUAGAGUAUCGGAGAGGAAAGUGGAAUUCCUAGUGUAGCGGUGAAAUGCGUAGAUAUUAGGAAGAACACCAGUGGCGAAGGCGACUUUCUGGACGAAAACUGACGCUGAGGCGCGAAAGCCAGGGGAGCGAACGGGAUUAGAUACCCCGGUAGUCCUGGCCGUAAACGAUGGGUACUAGGUGUAGGAGGUAUCGACCCCUUCUGUGCCGGAGUUAACGCAAUAAGUACCCCGCCUGGGGAGUACGACCGCAAGGUUG